rnacentral:RNase_P_RNA from 1 species
GCAGACGGCUGGAUGAUCGCUGCCGCCCGGGCCGCAAGGCGUUGGGCGGGGGAGGAAAGUCCGAACUCCGCAGGGCAGUGUGCCGGAUAACGUCCGGGACGGAGGCGUUAAGGCCUCUGGACGGCAAGUGCAACAGAGAAUGAACCGCCUCAAGCUGGUGAUUCGCCUCGGUGAAUCCGUAAGCGGUUUGAGGUAAGGGUGAAAAGGUGCGGUAAGAGCGCACCGCGCGGCCAGUAAUGGACGCGGCAGGGUAAACCCCACACGGAGCAAGACCAAAUAGGCAGGGAUCGUGCCGCUUCUCUUCAGGCGGCGCGAGCGUAUCGGCCCGAUGCGUCCAGGCGGAGAGACUCGAAAGAGAGCCGAAACUUGCGGGUAGGUUGCUAAAGCGCCGCAGUAAUGCGUCGCGUAGAGGAAUGAUCGUCUAAAACAGAAUUCGGCUUACGGGCCGUCUGCGAAC